UAGAAUUUGCUAUCUUGUGUAGAUUAAUUGAUGCAUGAUCAUGUUACGUUCUAUUAUAAGGGAGUGAAUUUAUUUGUUUUUGUUGACAAACUAUUGUUUUAUAUUGAAACCAAUUCAAGUAACCAGAACCCGUUGGGUGCUCUCUCUCUCUUCUCUCUAAAAAAUCUUUCAGAGAGAGAGAGUCUUGUUUUUCCGGUUACUUUGGUGGUUCUCUUCCGGCGGACUCUUCACCGGUCCUAGAGAUUGGUCUCCCGUAAAAGUGGUUUCGUUGACGUUUUUACUUGGACUUUUGACUCCGGUGACUCUCUAUCUUGGAAUUUGACAGCCGGCUUUUGACUCUGGCGAAGUCGACUUGUUCUCCGGUGGCGUCGGACGGCUUGUUCCGGAGUUUUUUUCUUUGAUCCUCGUCUCUGUUUUACUCUUCAAGUCUUAGCCCUCUUUUGAUUUGGAUCCGAUUGUUUAAUCCUUCCCUUGGUUAGGGUUUGUUCAUCUUCAGACUAAUCUUUAUCAUCAAAGAAGGUUGUUUCAGAUGCAGGAUAAUUGGAUCUUUAAAAUCGAUUGAAAGUGGCUGAUUCUUCUGUCGUAGGCAAAGAUUUGCGUUAUAUGGCAUUGACGUUUGGUCUUCUUGGGUUAGCUGCUCUGUCGAGCGGUUUUUCCAUCCUUCUGAUCAGUUUCCGGCGGUUUGUCGGACCUCAGGCGAAAGACUUCUCUGUCGGUGGAGAUUGGUCGUGGGGACAUCUUAAAGCAACAUGUGUCCUCUACAGUUAGGGUUUCGAUGCGUGGGUUGGUGUGUGGCUCACCUCUUCUCCGUUCUGGGCUUGCCCUUCUUGGGUCUUUAUGUUGUUUUAGUUGUUCUAUCUUUACGUCUUUUUGUGCCUAGUUUGUAAAGAACUUUGUUUAAUAAAAUUUCAGUUGACCCAAAAAAACCCAAUUAAAGUUAAAAAUGAAAGGUGAAAUACAAAGCCAAAUAAUUUCCUAAAAUAGUCCUCAACGACUCUACUAAGAUCCCUUUGGGCAUACUCAUCAAUGAGUUUAUGGAUUCUAUUUUAUUUUGCGCUCUUCUAUUCUUGGUAGAAGCUGAUAUUUCUAUCACCAUUCCUCAGCCAUAGAAUUCUGCUCUUCAGCUUCCAGAAGGCCUCUCCAUUUUUACAUUGUCGACUCAGCUCCUUUUUCAAAUUAUUUAGCUCCACCGUAUAUCUAAGGGGCUCCUCUUUGUUUUACAAAAAAAAAAAAAAGGGGCUCCUCUUUAGAAAUACAUGCGUUAAACUUGAAACUAAUACCCUCAAUGACCUCGACGCUUACCUUUGCCGUAAUUUAAUCUUCUUCCAGACAAUCAAAACUAACUUAAUCACCCAGUAAAGGAGAUAUGCCCUUACUGGGAGAACAUUAUUUAAAAAAGAAAUUGGUGAGAUUAACCAGAAUGUACCUCAUGACGUUGGAAUAAUCAUGAAGGAAGAGAACCAACUACCAAGAACAACUUUAAAAAAAAAAACUAAGAACAAACAAAAAACCAGAGAUUAAACCGCCUUAUUUGGGAAAAGUUAGAAUUUUUAAGACGACACACAUACAUAUUUUCGUAUUAUGUUACUUUUUAACCCGUAAUAAAUGACAUUAAUUUUUAAUAAGUAAUAAUUAUAAGUUGAAUAUGUACUGUAUUCAUAUUACUAUUUUACAUUUAUGUAAUAAUAUGUGUUUGUAUAAAUAUAUUUAAAUGAAAAAAUAAAAAUGUAAUCUGUUUAAUUAACUUGUUUUGUAGUAAAUUUAAUUUUUUUAAGUAAAACAAAAUGAUUUGAUCUAUUUUCAACCUAUUUCACAUCGGUCAAUGUUUAUUUAUAAUUUUAUAGAUAAAUUAAUAUGUUAGGUUAACCCAUUUCGUGGUUGAAUAAUAUUUUGUAAAUUUUACUUAAUAACCCACUAAAACUACAAUCUUAAAAUCCGAAUUAUCAUCUGAUACACCAUAAGAUUGAAUUAUUAAAAAUAUUAUAUAUUUUUGGCUAACUAAUAUUAACUAAAUUUUUGUUAAUUUGUAUUAUUACUGGAAUCAAAUAUAAAAUUAAUUUACUAAUAACUAAUCAAUUAUUUAAGUAUUUAAAGUAUUUUACAAAUAAUCAGCUAUUGAAAUGUAAUCUUAAAAGUAAAUUGGAGUGUUUUUUUGUUUUUUUUCUUGGAAAGAUUUUAAUAUUCUCUAUAUUUUGACCAUAUUGUAGUAACCUGGGGAUUUUUCAAAAUUUUAAUCAUAUAUGUUGAUCUCAAUUUUAUAGUUUGGUCGUAGUUUGUAAAAGUGAAAAAGAAACAGUAAAAAUGGUUAUUUGAAUGGUUGAUAUAACAUUGCAAUUGCUUUUCUAAAAAAAACAUUGCAAUUGCAUGUUUAAUUAUAAAAGCAAGGACUUCAAACGCUAGAAUUUGCUAUCUUGUGUAGAUUAAUUGAUGCAUGAUCAUGUUACGUUCUAUUAUAAGGGAGUGAAUUUAUUUGUUUUUGUUGACAAACUAUUGUUUUAUAUUGAAACCAAUUCAAGUAACCAGAACCCGUUGGGUGCUCUCUCUCUCUUCUCUCUAAAAAAUCUUUCAGAGAGAGAGAGUCUUGUUUUUCCGGUUACUUUGGUGGUUCUCUUCCGGCGGACUCUUCACCGGUCCUAGAGAUUGGUCUCCCGUAAAAGUGGUUUCGUUGACGUUUUUACUUGGACUUUUGACUCCGGUGACUCUCUAUCUUGGAAUUUGACAGCCGGCUUUUGACUCUGGCGAAGUCGACUUGUUCUCCGGUGGCGUCGGACGGCUUGUUCCGGAGUUUUUUUCUUUGAUCCUCGUCUCUGUUUUACUCUUCAAGUCUUAGCCCUCUUUUGAUUUGGAUCCGAUUGUUUAAUCCUUCCCUUGGUUAGGGUUUGUUCAUCUUCAGACUAAUCUUUAUCAUCAAAGAAGGUUGUUUCAGAUGCAGGAUAAUUGGAUCUUUAAAAUCGAUUGAAAGUGGCUGAUUCUUCUGUCGUAGGCAAAGAUUUGCGUUAUAUGGCAUUGACGUUUGGUCUUCUUGGGUUAGCUGCUCUGUCGAGCGGUUUUUCCAUCCUUCUGAUCAGUUUCCGGCGGUUUGUCGGACCUCAGGCGAAAGACUUCUCUGUCGGUGGAGAUUGGUCGUGGGGACAUCUUAAAGCAACAUGUGUCCUCUACAGUUAGGGUUUCGAUGCGUGGGUUGGUGUGUGGCUCACCUCUUCUCCGUUCUGGGCUUGCCCUUCUUGGGUCUUUAUGUUGUUUUAGUUGUUCUAUCUUUACGUCUUUUUGUGCCUAGUUUGUAAAGAACUUUGUUUAAUAAAAUUUCAGUUGACCCAAAAAAACCCAAUUAAAGUUAAAAAUGAAAGGUGAAAUACAAAGCCAAAUAAUUUCCUAAAAUAGUCCUCAACGACUCUACUAAGAUCCCUUUGGGCAUACUCAUCAAUGAGUUUAUGGAUUCUAUUUUAUUUUGCGCUCUUCUAUUCUUGGUAGAAGCUGAUAUUUCUAUCACCAUUCCUCAGCCAUAGAAUUCUGCUCUUCAGCUUCCAGAAGGCCUCUCCAUUUUUACAUUGUCGACUCAGCUCCUUUUUC
rnacentral:lncRNA from 1 species